rnacentral:rRNA from 1 species
UAGGCGCAGCUGAUCAUUCAUGCCGCGUGAGUGAAGAAGCCUUCGGGUUGUAAAGCUCUUUCGGCAGGAACGAAAUGGUUCGUGCUAAUACCACGGACUGAUGACGGUACCUGAAGAAGAAGCACCGGCUAACUACGUGCCAGCAGCCGCGGUAAUACGUAGGGUGCAGGCGUUAAUCGGAAUUACUGGGCGUAAAGCGUGCGCAGGCGGUUUCUUAAGUCAGAUGUGAAAGCCCCGGGCUUAACCUGGGAACUGCGUUUGAAACUGGGAGACUUGAGUGUGGCAGAGGGGGGUGGAAUUCCACGUGUAGCAGUGAAAUGCGUAGAUAUGUGGAGGAACACCGAUGGCGAAGGCAGACCCCUGGGCUAACACUGACGCUCAUGCACGAAAGCGUGGGGAGCAAACAGGAUUAGAUACCCUGGUAGUCCACGCCCUAAACUGUGUCAACUGGUUGUCGGGGGAUUAACUCCCUUGGUAACGAAGCUAACGCGUGAAGUUGACCGCCUGGGGAGUACGGCCGCAAGGUUAAAACUCAUAGGAAUUGACGGGGACCCGCACAAGCGGUGGAUUAUGUGGAUUAAUUCGAUGCAACGCGAA